GACGAACGCUGGCGGCGUGCUUAACACAUGCAAGUCGAACGAAGUGGCGAACGGGUGAGUAACGCGUAAUCAACCUGCCCUUCAGAGGGGGACAACAGUUGGAAACGACUGCUAAUACCGCAUAAUGAAGGAGGGGAUUGCGUCGUAUGAGCGAGUUGGAGGGGUAACGGCCCACCAAGGCGAUGAUCAGUAGCCGGGCUGAGAGGAUGAACGGCCACAUUGGGACUGAGACACGGCCCAGACUCCUACGGGAGGCAGCAGUGGGGAAUCUUCCGCUAUGGACGAAAGUCUGACGGAGCAACGCCGCGUGAGUGAUGACGGCCUUCGGGUUGUAAAGCUCUGUUAAUCGGGACGCGGUACCGGAAUAGAAAGCCACGGCUAACUACGUGCCAGCAGCCGCGGUAAUAC
rnacentral:rRNA from 1 species